rnacentral:rRNA from 1 species
GAUGAACGCUGGCGGCGUGCCUAAUACAUGCAAGUCGAGCGAACGGACGAGAAGCUUGCUUUUCUGAUGUUAGCGGCGGACGGGUGAGUAACACGUGGAUAACCUACCUAUAAGACUGGGAUAACUUCGGGAAACCGGAGCUAAUACCGGAUAAUAUUUUGAACCGCAUGGUUCAAAAGUGAAAGACGGUCUUGCUGUCACUUAUAGAUGGAUCCGCGCUGCAUUAGCUAGUUGGUAAGGUAACGGCUUACCAAGGCAACGAUGCAUAGCCGACCUGAGAGGGUGAUCGGCCACACUGCAACUGAGACACGGUCCAGACUCCUACGGGAGGCAGCAGUAGGGAAUCUUCCGCAAUGGGCGAAAGCCUGACGGAGCAACGCCGCGUGAGUGAUGAAGGUCUUCGGAUCGUAAAACUCUGUUAUUAGGGAAGAACAUAUGUGUAAGUAACUGUGCACAUCUUGACGGUACCUAAUCAGAAAGCCACGGCUAACUACGUG